rnacentral:rRNA from 1 species
UACGAAGGGGCUAGCGUUGCUCGGAAUCACUGGGCGUAAAGGGUGCGUAGGCGGGUCUUUAAGUCAGGGGUGAAAUCCUGGAGCUCAACUCCAGAACUGCCUUUGACACUGAGGAUCUUGAGUUCGGGAGAGGUGAGUGGAACUGCGAGUGUAGAGGUGAAAUUCGUAGAUAUUCGCAAGAACACCAGUGGCGAAGGCGGCUCACUGGCCCGAUACUGACGCUGAGGCACGAAAGCGUGGGGAGCAAACAGG